UGUUGUGGCGACAAUAAAAAAAAACGUUCAUAUUCAGAAUGAAAGGGUAGUUUCUUUCUCUUAACUAUUUCAAUAUUCUUUGAGAAACAUCUUGAAAGAAUAGCAUAUGUAUUUGCUUUUUGAGUUCUUUAUUCACAAUAUCAAAUCUAAUUUUCAGUAAUAAGUUACAGCUAGGUAUUGACACAUUAAGUAGGACCUACUUUGAUUGCACACUAACCUUGACCAUUCUAGUGCCAUUGUAGCUUUAUCUGAUGGCUUACUUUGAUUGCACACUAAUUGAUGACCUUUUCUUUACUAUUGAGCGUGAACAGGAAGGGCUAUCGUCAGUGCUGGCCAUGAGGCGGCAGCAAGUACAUGGCAAGGUCAGUUGAAGAGAGUGGAGGAAGAGGACAAGGAUGCAGAGUAAUGCGUUACAGCUAGUGGUUGCUAAUUCUUGUGCUAGAUUGGCCACUGCUUCCUCCCCACGCACGAAGCCGACGCAGACCCGCCCGCUUCAUCAGGCUCUGUAUUUCAAACCAAUCUUGCAAACUUUUGUUCACAUCUUAGAUUGCUUUUCAUGUUUUAGUGGUUGGAGGUCAGUACUACUAAUAUGGCCCUUGCAGGCAAACAAGAUGAAUCUGUCUAAAUGAUCUUUCAUCAGUUUGUUCGUCAAUACUGAUCUCUUAGCUGAAGUCAAUACCCCCAUAUACAAUCUCUUAUUGUUGAUGAUGAUGAUGAUGAUGAAGAAGACCUUCGUUCUCCACCUUCAGAUGAAAGAGCAUUCUUUGUACCAGAGACUACUGUCGUUCAACUCUUUGAGCCUGAAGUGCUAAUUAGUGAGUCAGUGAGUAUGGAAGUUCUCAUUGAAGUUCUUUGCACCUCUAAUUAGCAGCCUGAAGUUCUUUGACGAAAUGGGUGAAGACGGAAGUGAGUAUAGCUACUUAGAUUGCUCAGUUUUCCCUUGCUUAUUGCAUUCCGUAAAUUAUAUGAUAAUUAACAUUAUAUUUUGAUAAAAUUGAGAAAUAACAAUGAUGCAUGCGUUCGAAACAAGAGGGAAAAUAAUAGCAGAACACUAAACAAUUCAAAUGUUGCAAAACCAGAACUUACUCACCAUGUUGAAAGAGAUCCGAUCGGGAUGCUAGAAUUUGAACCUCGCAAGAGCCAUCGAUGAGGAAAACAAACCAACAAAAACCAAAUUCAAAUUUGGAAGCCAAGCCCCAUGGUAUGAUCAGCAAGCAAUCCAAACCCUCGAGUUCUAAUUUUCGAUUUUUGAGACGAACCAAAGCAGCUCCUCAACAGAAAGCAAGGCUCCAUGCACAUCUUUCAUAUGUUUGUAUAGUAGACUUAUUGGUCUAUAGUUUUCUGAAAUUGAUUUAUGUUAGUGCCUCCUAUAUGUUUGGAAACAGUCGUUACUUCUAUAUGUCAUUGGCAUGCCUUAUGUUCACUCAAAAUUCCAUCAAAGAAACUUCUCUGCAUAAAGUUUUAUCCUGUUUAAACAUAGCAUCGACUCCUCUAUUCAGAACAAUAAGAGAAGUGAAUAACACAAUAACUAUAUAGAAGGAAAGAGGAGGGAGUUAGGCUCACCAUGUGUUCAGUUCUAUUAUAGUUUUUAUUCUGAAACAUUUGUUACAUUGUCUCCUAUACAUUAGGAAAAAUAACUUUUUAUAUUACUUAUUAAUAGGGCUUUCGUUCAAUUAAAAAUUUAAAAUCCAAACAAAGAAACUUUCCUGCAUAACCUCUUACCCUAUUUAAACAUGGCAUAGACUCAUUCAGUCUUAUAAACAGUUUUCGAGCGAACAAUAUAAGUUAACAAUAUAAGAGAAGUGAUUGAUAACUUGCUAAAAGGAAUGAUAUGUGAAAGAUGCCAAUAUGAUACCUGUGUGUAGCUGAGGAAAUGGUUGUACGACUCCAAAGUGAUAAUGGUUGGAUACAGUCCGUAGAUUGAAAAAUGAGACUCCAAAGUGCUAAUUAGUGAGUCAUUAGCAGCCAAAACAGAGAAGCAAAAUUAGAAACAGAUCAUGCCCAGGAUCGAAUCGAAGAGCAUGUAGAGUUCGAUGCAUACAUUGCUACAAUUAUGCUAGGUAGGUUGAGCUUCUGGUCCUCAAGCUAAAGGCCGACGUAAGUCUCGGUGCGGAGAGAUCAGGGGAUGCGCCUAUACCGUCCUCAAGUUUUUCCCCGAAACAGACUGAAUGUGAGAUUUAUCAACAACCAACAUUUUCUCUUUGUCACUGUAAAUGCAGGUAUGUCCCUGGUUAGUAUCUUUUGACAAGCAGGAUGGCUUGUAACUUGUGGAGUGAGCUGAACAAAUGCGUGGAAGAUCAUAUAUAAGGUUAAGAAGAACGUAUAAAGUUUGUGGAGUGCAGCCAGAAAAGAAUUUUGAUGGAGUUGCAUCUUAUUACAUUUCAGAAUAACGGCAUAGCUAUAGUUUUUGUACAUAUUUUUUUAUAUCUAUUAUGUUUAAUGUGCGGUAAAAGAAUUUUGAGACCCGUGGCAACGCACAUGCAUUUAACUAUUGAGAUAAACAGGUAAACUUAUCAUCCAUAGUAAUAUUUAAAAAUAGAAUUGUAUAAAGUCCAGGAAGAAAUACAAUUGUAUAAAGUACAGGAAGC